UAUUAGUUUGAUAGACGCGUUGGGCAAUAUCUGUCGCAAAGUGCUACGAAACAACGAUUUCUUAACGAAUAAAUUUGUUUUCAUUAUAUAAGUAAAAUGUCAAAUAAAAUGCAUAAUUUAGAUUAGAUAACAGCAGUAGGCAGCAACAAUACUUCUUUUUCUAGAAAAUAUGUCUUAGAAUUUUAAUAUUUUCAACAUAAGUAUUCUAGGUUACAAGUUUUACACUCCGCACUCAAGCACGUGCAUUUUUGAGCUGAGCAGGAAGCGCUACAUGUUUGCGGCGUUUGGCGUUGAAACCUUGGGACCAUGGGGGCCAAGUGCGCGUCGGCUUUUUAAAGAUUUGUCGGCGCGCCUAAUACAGGCCUCGGGCGACCAGAGGGCUGGCCACUAUUUCGCACAGCGAUAAGUAUCGCCAUACAGCGGGAAAAUACGGCCAGCCUCCUAGGCACCUUGCCCAUUGACGGCGAUUUGGGCCAAUUUUUUUAUCUUUAGUUUAAGUUGUUAGUAAGUUUUAUUAUGUAUGUUUAUUUCUUUGUUUUUGGAUAAUAAAUGUAUUCCCUUUUAAGUUAA